CUGAUCUAUGAACUGACUGGAAAAGGACGAAGUGUCUGAUAAAGUGCUUAUGGGUGCCCAGAUGGAAACCCGGAUGCAGGGCAGGUGAGAGCCAGGCACGCACAGAGGCAACACAGUAAAUUUCUAGGCCUUGUGGUUGCAAAGAAAAGCUGGAAAAUAUGAACCUAGUGUAACUGACACACCAACAUCCGCCUGCGUCUACAGAGAGCCUGAAACAUGUGUUCUGAGUGGAGGAACUGCUCUGAGUGCAACCAGUGCUACGAUGUCUGCCUGAGUCUGCAGAGAGCCUGGAGCAAUAGCUCUGAUGGGGUGAGCUGGGCAUCCAUUUCUCAGUGGUGUGUUAAUUCCAAGCCCCUCUGCCCUCAGAUACCUCCCCCCCCCAAGCCCACCCCAGCAGAGGACUCUGUGUGCAAGUAGAGAAGAAGGCUGCAGCCCCCUACCCUGGAUGAUGGGCGCGUGGGAAUCUGGCACGUGACCUUUGACCCCUGCCAAUCCGCUCCCGGAUCCCAUUUUGCGAGAGCGCAAGCAUACGCAAUAAAGAGCUGCCGACAGCUUGCAAACAGCCUGCGCUCAAUUGUCCCUUCCGGAGAGAAUUAAAGCAAAUGUCUCUUUUAUGGCGUUGUUUGCUUGAACCUCGUCUCUCUGGAGCGAAGACAGUGCGGGGAUUACGCCGGAGGGGGGCGUGGGAAGUGCGUGAGCACCAUCGGGCACCCAUGCUUUGGAGCUACAGCUGGCCGUAAUGCUUCUCGAGCCCGGAGAAAGAAUGGGGCUCAGUGGCGUUGGAGAAGGAGGCUGGGCCCGGUGUUUUGUGUGCUUCGUCUGGGCUGCGAGAGAUCUGGCUUCAGUGUUCUACCCUGCUACAAUCAGCCUCUGGGCUA